rnacentral:rRNA from 1 species
GAAUUUUAUAUAAAUUAUUAUUAAAAUUAUAUAGUAAGUUAUAUUUGAUUGGGAGGAUAAUUAAAUUUGACAAACUUUAAUAAAAAAUAACUUAAAUAAAUGGAAAGAAGAAGAUGAUUAAUUAAGAAUUAUUAGAGAAUAAAUUACCUUAGGGAUAACAGCAUAAUAUUUUUUUUUAGAUCUUAUAUAAAAAAAUGUUUAU